CUAUUUUGCCGUUUAGCACAGGCUAAUGCUAGCGUGUGCUAAACGCUCAUCAUAAACAUGAGGCGUGUCCAUCAACAGCUUUCUUAUUUGCAUAAAAGUGACAGAACCCUUAAACGGCUCGUUCUGCAAGGGAUUUUAUGUGGGAGUAAUUUUGUGUAAAGUUACUUAAUGACUUAAUGAACAUGUUUUAUUAUACAUUUAUAUAUAUUUUAGAUAUUCUGACUCAUUUAAAAAGAGUUAUAAUAUGUCUACUUUAUGAUUCUUUUAAUUUUCAGAAAUUUAAAUUUAAAUUUAUAUCAGUUUUACAUUAUUAUUUUAAGGAAUUGCACAGAGUAAGCAGGUUUUGCUCUUAAAGCAUUAAGACAUGUUUAACACAUUCAAAAAAUAGAAAUAAUAAACGUAUCAUUUUUGUACAGAAAUAUGAUGCUAAUAUAUGAGGUUUCUGUGCUGAGUUUUAGAAAUACUCCAUACAGAAGUACAGUAUCCCGACUGACCCGAGAUCAGCCGCAGAUUAGAGCCAGUAAAGGAAAUGAGGCGUAAAGUAGCUUUAUAGUGUUUAUAUUAGAGCUCUCAAUGACUUCCCACAUAUAUACACUGUGUUUAUAUUUAUAUCUCAUGAUUAUAUUGUUUGUAGAAAUACACAAACACACUGAGCACACACACACAAACAUGCAAACACACACAAACACACAAACAAAACCCUUAAACCUCCUCCGAGUUCAACAGGAGGGUAUUGUUUCCUUAAUUAGUGCAGAUAGAGAGAUAGUAAUGGGCGCUGCUCGUAAAAACUCUUAUAGUUCAGCUAGAAAAAUACUGGAGCUUUUUAUUGAGACGCAUCUUGAAGCAAUUUACUGAGAAAAGAGGAAAAACAAACAGUGAAAAAAGCUGCAGAUCCAGAGCAAAAACACUCACUGAUGAGGAAACACUGGAACAAAUGUGCAAAUCUCGCACUUUUCCUGACAACCAGCCUCCAAAACACCCUCACUGCAGCUGCUGUACACAUCACCAGGACUGCGACAAAAUAUCGGUACUGCGAUAUAUCGAUGUAUCAUAAUGUUUUAGUUUGAUACAUUAUUUUAUAUAUAUUUCAUAUAUAUAUAUAUUAUAUUUAUAUAGAUAUUUUAUUGAAACAUAGGCAACUAAAGACUGAAACACAGCCCCAGUUAGACUUACCAUAAUUACUGCUUCAUUACUCCACAUGGUAGCACUAUAAUAUCCGUGGUGAUUGCUAAAGUGUUGCUAGGUGGUUGCUAAGGUACUCUAGGUGGUUGCUAUAAUAUCUGUGGUGAUUGCUAAGGUGUUGCUAGGUGGUUGCUAAGGUAUUCCAGGUGGUUGCUCUAAUAUCCGUGGUGAUUACUAAAGUGUUGCUAGGUGGUUGCUAAGGUACUCUAGGUGGUUGCUAUAAUAUCUGUGGUGAUUGCUAAGGUGUUGCUAGGUGGUUGCUAAGGUAUUCCAGGUGGUUGCUAUAAUAUCCGUGGUGAUUGCUAAGGUGUUGUAAAGUUGUUUAGCCACUCAGACUAACUCACUAAACUGCAGUGUGAAACCGAAACUAAACGUACUAAACGUAAAGAAUACAAUUAAACACACACACACACACACACACACACACACAAACACACACACACACACACAAACACACACACACACACACAAACAGACCUGAGGACCUGAAUACACUGAAUACUAUAUAUAAAAUGGGGUAUAGAAGUAUUUAGGCACUCUCCAUAAGGUAGCCUCACCAAAGCCACACUUACCUCAAUACCCAAAGCCCCGCCCCCCCCCUGUCCCGGCCACACACACACACACACACACACACGCACACACACACACUGAGCCCCGGGUCUCUGAGGGUCAGGGGUGAAAGCUGUGGGAGCUCAUUAGCAGCUCUGUGGUUCGUGUUUGUGUGAAGUUGUGUUUUUCUACAGGUCAGAAAUCACCAGGGGGAUUUUACCUCACUUUCCCCACUUUUCACCAUCAUUUACACUCUUAAACUGCUCUGUUCACUAGUGCUGAGUGUAGGCAAGACCUUAUACAGAUGAUACGCAUCACAAUAUGUAUAAUAUAUAAUAAUGGGUCCGGAUCGGACAACGUCUGAGUCCAGACCAAAACCGCAGUCCGCAUAUAUGUGAUCCCUGGUCUAGACCAUAUACACGGUUCUGUUUUAUAAAACCACUCCUUGCUGCCCUGCAGAGAACAACAGCUUCAAUGUUCAGUU